GUGGUGUGUGUGCGGCGGCAGCAGCAGCAGCAGCAGUAAGUAGCGCGCAUUCGGCCAGAGCCCGGUGCAAUGUUGUCUCCGGAUGGAUGUUAGUUAGCAGGAGACUGCCUCCCCUCUGAUCCCCAUGCGUUUGGGGUCGUCAGCCUGUGGUAAUGGUGCCACACACCAGACCUCAGUCAACCAGGAUGUGGUGCAUGGACUUUUCUGCCUGCUAUGGCAGGGAUGGGAGUGACAACAGGUAACGUGGUUUCCCCCAUGCAGUUGCGAUGGCUCUCACCUCCAUUUCACACAAUUGUGCUCUCACCUUCCUCCCCACACUAGGGAUAGACAGUUCCAGAGGGAACAAGUGCUUACAUCUCAUUCAUGAGGUCACAAUUCACAGCUGGACUCACUGUCCACCAAGGCCGUGGAAUUCUUGCUAUGUUGUUAUAAGCCUGGAUCUCCGGCAGAAUACAGCGUAAACAUUUAUGAGUGGCGAGUAUAAGAUAAAGUCUGAGAAAUACUGCAUAAUGUGACGUGCUCGAUGCUAACAAGAUUAAAUGCUGCUUUUUCAACAACUUUCAAAAUAUGACUAAUAUCAUGUCAUCAUUUCUAGGUCCAUCGAUGCCACUCCAUUAGUGCAUUUGCCAGAACUGUAUUUAAGGCAAUUAUCAUAACCCCAUCCCCAUAAAAAAACAAACAGCAAUGGUAAUAUUUCCAACUAGAUCACUAGACUGGAAAUUGUAGCAGUGGUAACCUGGUGGAAAUGUCUGCAUUGGUAUUUUGCUGAUAAAUUAUCAGUGGUGUGAAUAAUAAUAAUGGGUUUCUUCAUGUGACUUUACCCUGUACAGAAAAAAUCUAGCAUGUUACUAAGACCCUUGUUGUAACCUGGCUACUUGUAAAUAAAAGUUGCAAGGAAGAACAUUCAGUUGCAAAGGCACAAAAAUAAUCAUCAGUGAAACCAUCAAGAAAGAGUUACGCACAUACAUGUAUCAAUUUUAAGUUGACCACUGCGUAAUUUGUUGUUAUCUCCAUCAAACUGGCCUCAAGACAUAAAGAGCAGCAGAUGCAUUAGGACAUCAAAAGCAUUAUUGAAGGCCACAAAGAUCUUGUCCGCUGUUCUCUACUUGACAGGCAAUCUGACAACCCACACCAACAGGGGCCACAGAAUGUCCCGAGUAUGUGGACUACCCUGGUCCAUGAUAAUUUGCAUAUAUGAAGAUACUAGUCUUUGCAAAAAAUUACUAAAACACAUUUAAUGAUAGAGAUAGGAGAUCCAGAAUACAUUUAACUGGAAAUCCAAGUAUUCUUGCAUUGGUAGCUGCACUGUAACUAGGGAAAAUAAACGUUUCUGCAGGCUGAUAGCCAACAAAAAUCAGUGAGCUGAAGAACAGAUAGUGGAUGAAAAGAGGGCACAGAGGAGAGCAUAUCAAGAGCAGAGGAAUGUUUUGGAAAAACUCCUCAACCUUGGCUCUAUCUUUGAUAUAAAUGUCAUACCAACUGACUUGUCCAACCUCAUCACUAUUCUAGAUCAACAACAAGACAAGGUCACAAUCCAGCUAAAAAAAGAAGAGCUCAGAUCCUUGCUGAGUUUCUAAAACAUAGUCAUAAGAUCAUGUGAUAGGAGCAGAAUUAGGGCAUUCGGCCCAUCAUGUCUAUGCCAUUCAAUCAUAGCUAAUCUAUCUUUCCUUCCUGACCUCAUUCUCCAGCCUUCUCCCCGUAACCUCUAACACCUGUACUAAUCAAGAAUGUAUCCAUCGCUGCCUUAAAUAUAAACACUGACUGCCUCCACAGCCUUCAGUGGCAAAGAAUUCCACAGAUUCACCACGCUGUAACAAAAUUAAUUCUUCCUCAUCUCCUUCCUAAAAGCCCAUCCUUCAAGUCUGAGGCUAUGACCUCUAGUCCUAGACUUUCCCACUAGUGGAAACAUCUUCUCCACAUCCACUCUAUCCAAGCCUUUCAGUGUUCUGUACAUUUCAAUGAGGUUCCCCCUCAUUCUUCUCAACUUUAGCGAGUAUAGGCCCGGUGCUUUCAAACGCUCAUCAUAUAUUAACUCAUUCCUGAAAUUACUCUUGUAAACCUCCUCUGGACCUUCUCCAGAGCCAGCACAUCCUUCCUCAGAUAUGGUGCCCAAAAUUGCUCACAAUAUUCCAAAUGCGGCCUGACCAGUGCCCUAUAGAGCCUCAGCAUUCCUUCCCUGUUUUUGUAUACAAACCCUCUCGAAAUAAACGCCUGUAUUGUCUUUGGGUUUAGUGAAGAGCAACUUCUAUUAAAAAAUUGUCCUCAUCGUCAACAUCUUGGAAGAGGAUAUGACAGUGAACAACAGAGAUGCCAUAAUCAUAACCACCUUCAGCAAAGGGAGACAAAACUAAUUGUGGUCAUUUCAGAGGAAUCUUCAUGCAACCUGCCACAGGAAAAAUCAUCACAAGGGUCCUCCUGAACCUCAAUUACCAAAUAAAUGCACACCAAAUAGUGAUGUGGGGUCCAUACAUUAUAGAGGCAAAGGACAUUAAGGUAAGAUGGGCAAGUUUUAAUAGGAAUGUUUUCACUCAGAGGAUGGUGGGUAUAUAGAAAGAGUUGUCUGAGGAGGUAGUUGAGGCAGAUCCUAUAACAGCAUUUAACAGGCACUUGGACAAGUGCAUGGACAUGAAAUUUUUAGAGGGAAAUGGGAGCCAAACACUGGCAAAUGCGAUGAGCUUAAAUGGGGCAUCUUGGGCUGAAGGGCCUGUUUCCAUGCUGUAUGAAUACGACAAAUUUUACUGCACAUUAUCACCAAAAACAAUGCAGGAAACAGCAUGAAUAACUUUACACUGACUUUCUUGACCUCGUUAGACUGGCUCAUCUCCUCUAACAAAAGGUAACCAAAACAUCCACAAUAAUCAGUCUGAAGGGUCAUGAUCCAAAAUGUUCCCAGUCCAUUCCAUCCACAAAUGCUGCCUGACCUGCUGAGGUACUCCAGCACUUUGUUCUUUACCCACUCUGAUGAUGAUACUUUAUUGUCACUCGUACCUAGGUACAAUGAAAUUCAUUGUUUUUGCACACAAAGUACAUAAAAGAGUCGCCACAAUGGUGCCGACAACAUUACAAAACGUACUCAUCCCUUCUUUGUCUCCACCCUUCUGCUGGGUCCCCCUUUGUUCUCGAUGGUUCCCCUAGGCCGGGUCCCCUUUGUUAUCGGCGAUGCGGCUCAUCCAACUGUAUCAUCCUACCACAACCAGAGAGCAGUGCUGAACUACUAUCUACCUCUUUGAUGACCCACGGACUAUCCUUGAUCGAACUUUGUUGGCUUUACUUUGCACAAAACGUUAUUCUCUUAUCAUGUAUCGAUACAUUGUAAAUGGCUCGAUUGUAAUCAUGAAUUGUCUUUCUACUGACACGUUAGAAUUGCAACAUAAGCAUUUCACUG